rnacentral:lncRNA from 1 species
CAAAGUGGGGCAUAAUCACCUACAGGAGUUGCCAAUUCUCCCAUGGUCCUUUCUCUUUGUUCUUGGGGCCUAAUUGCUGGAUUUUCUUGAACCAUUUGGCCUUGGACAGCAUGUCCAUUAUGGGCAGCAACUGGUGCUUGAAGUUCUGCCAUUGGUGCAGAAUUCGGUUGCUGGAGUGAAGAACUUUCGGCGGCCGAAGAUGGGUUGGGUUCGGCGGCCGAAUGUUGGGCAGAUUGCUCUACGGCUUGCUUUCCAAGUCUUCUGAGAGUGCGUUCAAUUUCUGGAUCAAAGGGUAGUGUGUCCCUGCGUUCAGAUCUGGUCAUGAAAGAAAAUAAACAAGUGAUAUCAACUCCCCGGCAACGGCGCCAAUUUUUG